CACGUUGGUUGUCGUAAGUGCUCUCUGCAGUAAGGUGGUAUUUGAGGUAAAUUUUAGAAGUGCCUAGACAAAACGUGCUGCUUGUUGUGUGCAGUAACCAUCCCAAACCCUCCGGACUCGUGUAACGCCAUUAGUUCGCCGUGUGUUUCGAGCGAUCCACCAGUGUCGUCAGUGAGUGCCCUAGUACAGCUCCCGUCCGAACUGCCUUUGUUCUGCCGAGCUGCUGCCGGCGCUGUUCUGCCGAGCUGUUCUGCCGGCGCUCUCGUCAAAAGUCUGGUACUGGGGCUUCGAAUUGUAGUGUUUGGAAGACUGUUGAAGGUUGUGCUUUUGUGGAGCUGGAGUUCAUCGGCAGUUCUACAGUGCUUGCGCCAGAGAAACGUCGGUGCUUCUGUACCUGUUAGACGAAGGAGCGUUUGCCAAGUCUUGAAAGGUAGACAUCGGUGACGGUGUAUACGUUGAAAAGGGCCUGCUGAAGAGGCUGUGCCUGGAUGCUAACAACUCAGGCUUUCACUUUGCGGAGGGCCUCCUUAAAGCUCCUUUUUCAAUAGAAGACGUUGAAGGGAGGUCCUUCUUUGGGCGGCUGUCAAAUGCCUUCCACAGAAGGAUCCGUUGGAUUCCAAGAAGGUCAACACCAUAGUAGACUACACAACGCAACAUUUCAGCCUACUUCCAGGGCAGCUGGAGAACUCGUCCCCCUUACUAGCCCGGGGAUAUUAAAUGGAUGUGUUCAAGCACAAAUGGAAACCCGUCUUCUUCUGUUGCAUGCCACACCUAGCCACUUGGCAAUCACUAUUCGCCAAAGACAGAUAGUUGACAGGAUGUUACUAGCAAGUCGUUAGGAUAUAUAAAGGUGGUUAAUAAAUAGUCAUUGCACAGUUUUUAGGAAGCAAAUAAAAAUUUUAUUCAGAGAUAAUCAAAGCUUACUUUUGCAAUAUAUAAUUGCAAAAGUAAUUACCUCUGGAUAAAAUUUUUAUGUACUUUCUAAAAACUGUGAAGCGACUAUUUAUUAACCACCUUUAUACAUCCUAACGACUAUCUAGUAAUAUCCUGUCAACUAUCUGUGGCGAAUAGUCGACAGGAUGUUACUAGCAAGUAGUUAGGAUGUAUAAAGGUGGUCAAUAAAUAGUCGCUUCACAGUUGACACUUUCUAACGACAUAAGAUAAUAAGCAGUCGGUAAGAAUUCUAUCGACAUUUUAUAUCUAUACUUUCAAUUCAAUAUCGGUGGCCAAUAGUCGGCAGGAGGUUACUAGGAAGUUGUUACGGUGUCUAAAGACGUUUUAUAGAAUGUCGAUAGGUUUUAGUAACAUUUGUCUAAAGACGGUUUAUAAAAUGUUACUAAAAUUUUUUGU